UUUGAUGAUGGUGAUGGUUGAAGUCUGUGGAUGCUGUUUGAACGAGUGUGAUAGUAACAGCAGAAAGAUGAUGAUAGAUCUCCUAUGUUGGUCUUCACCUGAGGCAGCAAGCUUAUGAUGACGGUGGCUUCGAUCACUAGAAAGAGAGAGAGAGAGGAGGUCGGCUAUAUUGAAGUGGAGAGGGUUCAAGACUUGAGGAUAUUGGAGAAAAUGGAGUUUGUAGAGAAGAAGCAAAAUGAUAUUUAUUUUCUUAUUAUUAUAGUUUGUAAAGUUUCGUCUACCUUAAAAUAUGAGAAGACGACUUUGUUUUUUUCCUGUGUAAACCCAAGAAAAAUAUUCUGAUAAAGCGGUCAAGAACAUGUCUUUUUCCA